rnacentral:rRNA from 1 species
GUGGCCGGCGAUGACUAGCUACUGAAUCAAAGAGUUUAUUUAAACUCAUGAUGUCGUAAGGGAAAAUAAUGAUAGUACCUUACUAUUAGUGUCGUCCAAAUCUGGUGCCAGAAGACUCGGUAAGACCAGAGACGCAAACGUUAAUCAUCAUAAUCAGGCGUAAAGGGUUUGUAGGCAGCUUUCACCAGACUAUAUCCCAGCCUACUUUGCCUACCUCCUUUGGCAGGCUGUGUAGGUAGGAAAAAAAUAAAGUAGUUUAAUUGAAAGCUAGAAUCAAAAAGAGGUUAUAGUGUAUAACGCCUAGAGGAGGGCUGAUAUCCAUAGAUCCUAGGCAGAAUACUCAGGGCGAAGGCCACUCUCCACUAAUGAUUGACGCUGAGAAACGAAGGUUAGGGUAGGAAAUAGGAUUAGAUACCCCGGUACUCCUUUCUGUAAACGAUGAAUGGUAGUCAUUAGUUUUUUAACUAGAGACGAAGUUAACACAAUAACCAUUCCGCCUUGUGAGUACUACUGCAAAGUAGAAAACAAAAAAAUUAGUCGGUCUCGAAGCAAACGGAGUGAAGCAUGUUAUUUAAUAAAAAUAUUCCCGCAAACGG